UAGGGAAUUUUCCGCAAUGGGCGAAAGCCUGACGGAGCAAUACCGCGUGAGGGAUGACUGCCUAUGGGUUGUAAACCUCUUUUUUCAGGGAGGAAUAAAUGACGUGUACCUGAAGAAUAAGCAUCGGCUAACUCCGUGCCAGCAGCCGCGGUAAGACGGAGGAUGCAAGUGUUAUCCGGAAUCACUGGGCGUAAAGCGUCUGUAGGUGGCUCGGCAAGUCAACUGUUAAAUCUUGAAGCUCAACUUCAAAAUCGCAGUCGAAACUAUCGAACUAGAGUAUAGUAGAGGUAAAGGGAAUUUCCAGUGGAGCGGUGAAAUGCGUAGAGAUUGGAAAGAACACCGAUGGCGAAGGCACUUUACUGGGCUAUUACUGACACUCAGAGACGAAAGCUAGGGUAGC
rnacentral:rRNA from 1 species